AUUUUAGUCCAUUCUAUCCAAUUUAUUUCAAAUCUAGCCAAUUUUAAUUCAGCUCAUGUCAAUUUUAGUCACAAAUAUAUCAAAAUUGAAGAGUUAACCCCAUUUUUAACCCCAGUCGUUGAUCAAAAUUGAUGUAACGGCAGAGAUGAUUUCGAGCAUCCAUUUUCUUUUAAGAAUCUAAUACCCCAAACACUAGUCAUUUUUUAAAAACUUUCGCCUCCAACACUCUCUCUCUAUCUCCCCUCUCCCCCUCUCUCUCUACAAAACCCCUCCAAAUCUCGAUCUCCCUCCCUCUCUUCCGGUCUAUCCGCGCUGCCUCCAACUACCAUGCCGCCGUCAACAGCCCUCUCCCACCGCCGUCAUCACCGGCGAGAGACCGAACCAGCAACGCCUCCACCACCAUCAACCCCAGCGCCGAGCCAAGUCCUGUCGCGCCUCCAUGCACCCAACAACGACAACAACACCGGCGAACAGCGCGACCAGCCGUCGUCGCCCCCUCCUUCUCCGACGAGGACCCUCCGUUCUCCCUUCCCUCCUCUCGCCGCCGCAGAGCCAUGCCAUUUGCGCCAUCACCUACUUUGACCGAACCCCACAAGGGUGUCAAGGGUUCGAUUCCAAUGCUUUACAUAUCAAUUGCAUGAUGAAUUUGUCUCCGAUAAGGUCGUUCUCGGAUCUACUUUACUUGUUUCGGAAUAUUAAAUAUGUGGGUUAACUUAGAUCUGAGUUUCUCUAUUUUGAAUAUUCCGAUUUCAUGUCUGGCUAACGUUACUUUCUGAACUGGGCACUGGAUGACUUAAUUGUUAUUCAUCCAUGAAAUGAAUACAAAUUCUUCAUUUGUUAGUGAUGUUAUGUAUUGGUGGAGUAAUGUAUAAAUGUGUAGCUAGAACAUCUCAACGGAAUCACAUUUCACCUCAUUUCAUAUGCUCCUAUUCUUUAUUCUGACUAACAAGAAUAAGACAUUUUAUUUGAUUGAAAAUUCAACAACUUCAAGAACCCUGCUUUAUUUGAUUAGUUAGUUUUGUCAUGUAGUAAUAGGUGGCCUGAUGAGGUGGUCUUCUUCAUAAAAGCUUAAUCAAUUCAAUUACAGAAUAUUAGAUAGUUGUCACACCCCUUUUUCACUCGAGGGUCGAGUCGAAGAGUUUUUCUUAUUAAAGUGACGAUAUUGAAUAGAGAUUAAAUUAUUUACAGAGUUUUCACUUGAAAUUGAGUUUUGGUGUUUCAAGUCAUCUUUUUUAAUCCCUAAUUAAAAGGAAAUGACUCUUAUUUGGUCUACGAAAACAGAAAAUGGGUAAGAAAUUCUGUUAGCCGAGGGGAAGGUGUGAGCCACCCUUCGAGUCCCGUGGUUGUAGCACGGUCGCUUUUAUUGACUUAUCUUGACUUAAACUAUUUAUUAAAUUAUGUUAAGGCCCAAGUUCACUCAUUUUUUUUAAUAUCUAAAAUCUGUCCAAAACUGUCGUAUCAAUUUAAUGAAAAAUUAUUUUUAGAAAAAUAUUUGUCGAGGUACAUUAUUGCAUCCUUAAUUUUAAAAUGUCUCAAAAGAUGCAUACACCGCAUUCUUAAUCGAGAUGAAUAUUUUUAAUCGUGUAUAAAAUUUAUCUAAUAUUUGAAAACUUUGAUAUUUGUCAAUUCAAAAUGUCUCAAAAGGUGCGUACACCGCAUUCUUAAUCGAGAUGAAUAUUUUUAAUCGUGUAUAAAAUUUAUCUAAUAUUUGAAAACUUUGAUAUUUGUCAAUUCAAAGUACUACUUAACCUUAAUAAUAAACUUAAACAAUUUUCAUUUAAAGCGAUAAAUUAAUUUAACAAAUAGUUAUUAGGCCUUGUCAAUGACAAUGACGUAAAAAUAAAAUAAAAUAAAAAAUAAUAUAAAUACACAAAUUAACCAUUAACUAUAUUAUACUAAUAUUUAUUAUGACUCCCAAAAAUUUAAUCACUUUAAAUUCAUAUAAGUAUCAAGUCAUAUAUUAUGAAACAAAGCAAAAUCACAAAAUUAUCGAAAUCUAACUCAAAACACAAAAUCGUGAUGAAAAUAUUAAAGGAGCGUUUAGCACACUUCAAGAAAAUAAAUUGUAAAUUAGACAAAUACACUUAUUAUUAAGAUAAUUAAAUAAUAAUAAUUUUUUAGUGUUAAGAAAAAUUCAAAAGAUAAUUAAUUUAUAUAAAUUGGAUAGAAUGAUUAAAAAAAAAAAAUCUAAUCAAUCCAACUAAUUGAUGAGCAGAUUUCAUUAAUUAAUGAUCAUAAAUUACUUAACAAAAGAAAGUCAACUUUAUGCUAAUUUUUUAUAAUCUAUAUGUUAACUAGUAAAAGCCAUUGUUUUAAAUUUUCAUAUGCUCACGGAUAUCGACUUGGUUUCACGUCGUAAAAAUCACUCUCUAACGUCGUAACUUUGUGCAGAAAAAGUAUUUAAAGAAUCAUGAUCUGAAAUCAAUUUUUCUUUUUAAAAGAUUAGUGUUAUUAACAUUGUUUUUUUUUCUUGGCGAGUUUCAAUGGAACAACAACAAAACAAUAGCAAUACGUUUCUCGGUGGCGCGGAUUUGGCCAGGUUUGGAGAAGAUCUGACGUCGGGUUCAUAGUGGCGUUUGGACGCCUGUUAAUGGUGUUUCUCCAGCGAGUUGGUUCGUCGGUGAAUGCCGGAAAAGGGGGAAAAGAAAAAGAGGGAAAAAGGGCAGUGCAGUUGGUAUAUGCCUGCGAGAACUCAACGGAAUAGUCUUUCUUUCUCACCGGAGUUUUCUUUUCCGAUCCCUUCCCCUUCAUUCUCAGUUAUUUAUUCUAUACCCCCAUAAGAAUGCGUGAAUAUUAAGAGUGAAUAGCCAUGGAGGAUUUUUCUUCUCAUUGUUUUUGUGGGUGUGUGUUGUGCGUCUAUAUUUUCUUAAUUCAAUACAGUACAUAAAUAAUAUCACAUAUUAAAUUAUGGAAUCAUCAACAUAACUAUGAACAGAAUCUAAUUCACUAAAAAUCUCAUACAAUAAAUAAUACAAAAUAUGAAAUAGAGCCUGAUGAUGAAUUAAAAUAGAAAUUCGAACAUCGUUAUCGAAAAUUCGAAUAGAAAUUUAUUUCGACACUCAAUUCCUCUGCGUCAAAAGGAUUUCACUUUCUUUUUACUCUUUGAUGUUCACCCUUUGUUUUUCUCUGAUUUUUCUCACUGUUUGGUUCUUUCUCUGAUUUUUCAUCUGAUACAGCGUCUGCUAGAUUGAAUAAUAGUAACUUUUUUUUUUGUCAGGGGGUUGAGGGAGUCUUUAAGGACUCUUGGGGGAAAAAGUUGGGGGAAUAGUUAGAUAGGAUAGGAUAGGAUUAUGUUUAAAUUUUGAAUUUUUUUUUCUUUUUUUCUGUUAAUUACUAUUAUAUAUAAUAAAAAUAAUGCUAAUAACUAAUUAAUUUUUAUAUUUAAAAAAAGACAAAAAUAAAUAUAAUUAAAAUAGUAUUAAAGCUACUAACUUAUUUAUUUAAAAAGAAAAUUAGUUUUAUUUUUUGUAUUAUUUCUUUAAAAUUGAAAUAAAAAAAAUAAUAUCUUAAAAUUAACUUCAUUUAGUUAUUUAUUUUUUUAACUAAAAUUUUAUUAAUAAUUAAAAUAAUUUUGGAUUAAAUAUAAAUAUUUAACAUCAAAAUAUAUAUAUAUUACAAUCGGGGAGGGUCAAAAAUCACGUGUCUACAAUAGUUAAAGAUAUAAAUGAUUUAGUGAGUAGUUGGGAAUAUUCUAUAUAUGGUUUAAAUUCAAAAUGCAUGACUCGACUUUAUUUUAUGGAACUGUGCAAGUAUGGAAGUAUUUUUUAUAAAAAAAAUUAUACUCUUCAAUUUUGGUGACUUAGUAACUUGAAAAUGGUUAAGCGUAGGGAUUGAAAUGUGAAUUAAUUAUUUGAAAAUGGUUAAGUGUAGUGACUUGAAAUAUGAACUAGUUAUUUGAAAAUGGUUAAGUGUAGUGACUUGAAAUAUCUACUAGUUAUUUGAAAAUGGUUAAGUGUAGUGACUUGAAAUGUGCACUGGUGACUUGAAAAUAGUUAAGUAUAGUGACUUGAAACGUUAAUUAGCUAUUUGAAAAUGGUUUUAGUGUAGUGACUUGAAAUGUGUACUAGUGAAUAAGUUAUUUGAAAAUUAUUAAUUGUAAUGACUUGAAAACGAUUAAGUGUAGUUACUUGAAAUUGUGAACUUGUGACCUGAAAACGGUUAAGUGUAUUUAUUUGAAAUUGUGAACUUGAUGCUUGAAAAUGGUUAAGUGUAGUCACUUGAAAUUGUACUAAUAACUUUAAAAUAAUAAAGUGUAGUUACUUGAAAAUGAUUAAGUAUAUUGACUUGAAAAGUGAUUUAGUUAAUUGAAAAUAGUUAAGUGUAGUGAUUUAAAAUGUGUACUAGUGACUCGAAAAUAUUUUAAGUGUGGUGACUUGCAAUGUGAACAAGUUUUUUGAAAAUGGUCAAGUAUAGUAACUUAAACGUGUAGUAGUGACUUGAAAAUGGUUGUGUAGCUACUUGAAAUGUCUACUAGUUAAUUGAAAAUGGUUAAUUAUAGUGAAAUAAAAUGUCAAUUAGAUAUUUGAAAAUGAAGAUUCAAAAAAAAUGUGAAUUAGAUAUCUGAAAAUGGUUUUGAGUGUAGUAUCUUAAAAUGUGUACUACUAACUUGAAAAUAUUAAUUGUAGUCGCAUGACAUAUGAACUAAUGACUUGAUUUUUAUAUGUUUUGAUGUAAACUUGCAUACAGAUGACAUCCGUUGGUGACGUUGAUUGACCUCGUCCUUAAAGAGUUCAAAGUCAACUGCUAAAAAUAAAUCUCGGACAUCUGUAGACUCCAAUGAAAAAACUUUAGGAUUGUUUAAUAUUUUGGUGGUUGUUGGAUUAAUUAUUAAGUGUCUUGUAUUUUGGAUUUGGUUGUUUAAGGAGUGUUGAUUUGAAUUACUUAAAUGUUUUGAUAAUAUAGUGGCUUGUAUGAUUAGUUUAGAAAUGUUUGUUGCUUGAGGCUAUAUAUAUUGAAUUGCAUUUUU
rnacentral:lncRNA from 1 species